CGUAGGUGAACCUGCGGAGGGAUCAUUGCUGGAACGCGCCCCAGGCGCACCCAGAAACCCUUUGUGAACUUAUACCUUUUGUUGCCUCGGCGCAUGCUGGUCUCUAGUAGGCCCCUCACCCCGGUGAGGAGACGGCACGCCGGCGGCCAAGUUAACUCUUGUUUUUACACUGAAACUCUGAGAAAAAACACAAAUGAAUCAAAACUUUCAACAACGGAUCUCUUGGUUCUGGCAUCGAUGAAGAACGCAGCGAAAUGCGAUAAGUAAUGUGAAUUGCAGAAUUCAGUGAAUCAUCGAAUCUUUGAACGCACAUUGCGCCCUCUGGUAUUCCGGAGGGCAUGCCUGUUCGAGCGUCAUUUCAACCCUCAAGCAUUGCUUGGUGUUGGGGCACUGCUUCUAACGAAGCAGGCCCUGAAAUCUAGUGGCGAGCUCGCCAGGACCCCGAGCGCAGUAGUUAAACCCUCGCUCUGGAAGGCCCUGGCGGUGCCCUGCCGUUAAACCCCCAACUUCUGAAAAUUUGACCUCGGAUCAGGUAGGAAUACCCGCUGAACUUAAGCAUAUCAAUAA
rnacentral:rRNA from 1 species